rnacentral:lncRNA from 1 species
GGCACAAAUGAAACAGUAAUUUCUUUGCGGGGGGACCAUUACAAGAUGUUUGGUCUAACCGGGACUCUACUGCGCGCGAUUCCAUGUCUAACAUAUGGUUUUGGAAACGGCUAAUUCAAAUAAUAAAUAUUGAAAAGGUAGAUAUUUUUGGGAUCAUAUUGGAAUGCUGCGCGCAUGGUGUUCAUAUGUGAUGCUCAAGGAACUAAUAUAAGCUUAUCCUGCAUGUAUUCUUUGGUGCUGCACAAAAGUAUAUUGAUUCUGCCGCAACGUUGCCAUUCAAAUCAACCUCAUCAAAGUUAAGUCUAGACGGUACCCGUAGUAGGCUCUAUUGGCUCCACGUAUACAUUUACAUGCAU